AUACCCGCUGAACUUAAGCAUAUCAAUAAGCGGAGGAAAAGAAACCAACAGGGAUUGCCUCAGUAACGGCGAGUGAAGCGGCAAUAGCUCAAAUUUGAAAUCUGGCUCUUUCAGAGUCCGAGUUGUAAUUUGUAGAGGAUGCUUCGGCUUACGUCUCGGUCUAAGUUCCUUGGAACAGGACGUCACAGAGGGUGAGAAUCCCGUUUGUGGCCGCGACUUCUGCCAUGUGAAGCUCCUUCGACGAGUCGAGUUGUUUGGGAAUGCAGCUCUAAAUGGGAGGUAUAUUUCUUCUAAAGCUAAAUACCGGCCAGAGACCGAUAGCGCACAAGUAGAGUGAUCGAAAGAUGAAAAGCACUUUGGAAAGAGAGUUAAAAAGUACGUGAAAUUGUUGAAAGGGAAGCGCUUGUGACCAGACUUGCCCGCGGAUGCUCAACCGGUCCUUCGGCCGGUGCACUCUUCCGCGGUCAGGCCAGCAUCAGUUCGAGCGGUCGGAUAAAGGCCUUGGGAAUGUGGCUCUCUUCGGGGAGUGUUAUAGCCCUUGGUGUAAUACGGCCCGCCUGGACUGAGGCCCGCGCUUCGGCUAGGAUGCUGGCGUAAUGGUCGUAAGCGGCCCGUCUUG
rnacentral:rRNA from 1 species